UGGCGGCGUGCUUAACACAUGCAAGUCGAACGCGAAAGGGACUUCGGUCCUGAGUAAAGUGGCGCACGGGUGAGUAACGCGUAGAUAACCUGUCUUCAUGUCUGGAAUAAUACGCCGAAAGGGGUACUAAUACCGGAUAUCUUGCUUUUCAUAAGUUAUGCAAGCAAAGGUGGCCUCUGCAUAUGCUACUGCAUGAAGAGGGGUCUGCGUACCAUUAGCUAGUAGGUGGGGUAAUGGCCUACCUAGGCGACGAUGGUUAGCGGGUCUGAGAGGAUGAUCCGCCACACUGGCACUGGAACACGGGCCAGACUCCUACGGGAGGCAGCAGUGAGGAAUAUUGCGCAAUGGGGGAAACCCUGACGCAGCGACGCCGCGUGAGUGAGGAAAGGCCUUCGGGUCGUAAAGCUCUGUCAAGAGGAAAGAAGUGUACAAUGGCUAAUACCUGUUGUAUUUGACGGUACCUCUAAAGGAAGCACCGGCUAACUCCGUGCCAGCAGCUGC
rnacentral:rRNA from 1 species